rnacentral:rRNA from 1 species
GAUGAACGCUGGCGGCGUGCCUAAUACAUGCAAGUCGAGCGAACAGACGAGGAGCUUGCUCCUCUGACGUUAGCGGCGGACGGGUGAGUAACACGUGGAUCACCUACUUAUAUUACUGGGAUAACUACGGGAAACCGGAGCUAAUACCGGAUAAUAUAUUGAACCGCAUGGUUCAAUAGUGAAAGACGGUUUUGCUGUCACUUAUAGAUGGAUCCGCGCCGCAUUAGCUAGUUGGUAAGGUAACGGCUUACCAAGGCGACGAUGCGUAGCCGACCUGAGAGGAUGAUCGGCCACACUGGAACUGAGACACGGUCCAGACUCCUACGGGAGGCAGCAGUAGGGAAUCUUCCGCAAUGGGCGAAAGCCUGACGGAGCAACGCCGCGUGAGUGAUGAAGGUCUUCGGAUCGUAAAACUCUGUUAUUAGGGAAGAACAAAUGUGUAAGUAACUAUGCACGUCUUGACGGUACCUAAUCAGAAAGCCACGGCUAACUACGUG